rnacentral:misc_RNA from 1 species
GGGACCGAAAAAGACCUGACUUCUAUACUAAGUCUACGUUCCC